rfam:Pseudomonas batumici strain TCM B-321 Contig_111, whole genome shotgun sequence.
CUUAAUGGUGGCCGUGCGCAGGAGACUUUCGAGUCUGCCGGGGUCCGAUAUGCCCGGUCUUGCACACCUGCGUAUGGCUGCCACCCUU